AUACAUCUCCGCUCGGUCGCGCUGCGCCUCUCCAGACUUCAUGGGUGCUGACCGCCCUGUUCCUGCUGUCCAGCCAUAUUGUCAAACGCUCGGGCAGAGUUUGGUGACCUACUUCGCAGAAAAAGUUCCCGCCACACAAACAAUUGGGUGAGGAUCGCUGUAAGAUUGUAUAUGAACGCGUUUUGCUGCCAAAGCGCGCAUAAAAGGAGAGGACACUGAAGUACAGACGCAUGGAUACCGAACACCUGGAGAAUUAGGUGCAUUGUGUGGAGGUAAAAUGCCCAAAGUGGCCCCGGUUGCCGCCCUCUGAUCCACCUGAGAUGUGAUCAUGAGUCUGGAGACUACAGUCCCGUCAGCCAUGGAGCCCGAUCCGAGGACGGGCCUCUCUGUGUGGGCCAUUAUAGCCAUCGCUUGCAACUCUGUGGUGGGCGUCCUCAUCCUCAUCCUCUUCGGGAUCAUCUACAAGGCCUGCAAGGUGCCUUCACACCAAGACAAAAUGCCAGUUUUCACAGCGAUGCCGGAGAAGAAGAAGAAGAAGAAGCCUGAACAGAAGUACCUGCUGACUGCAGCCUGAUCACGGCGGACAGGCACUUGAGAUGUUAUUCAACUUCGUCCAUUUAGUUGAGCUGAGGACAAGCUUUAUUUCUCUUCUCCAACCACAUCAUGCUCACAUUUCUUCCCCAUCAUCCCCUCAUGUACAGCAUUCAGCAGACUGUAGAGUGAGCUAACUGCAUUAAGAGUUGCAGCAAGGCCAACAACAACAACAACAGCAAGCAGGCCCAAUCCUCUUAUCUCUGCGGUGCGUCGCUGGGACUGUCCAUCUGUCGGUCUGUUUGCUCUACUCUACACAGGCAGACCAUGUUCUCCUACUCUACUCCAUCCAUUCUCAUUCCUCCAUACGACACCACUGAGAGGGUGUGGUGGAGAAACUGCAAAGACACCAUGUGUUGUAACGUGAGAGUUUGGGGCGAUGAGGUUGGUUGACAGCCAUAAUAACAUGUUGGAGGUACGGAGGAAAAGCAGCUCUCAAACAGCUGCAGCACGACUGACGUCAACAACAGAGCUGCCAAAAGCCUAACAGAGUCAGGAAGGAGAGAGAAGCUGCUGGGAAAGUGAGCGACAACCAGGCGGAGAGGGAGACAGACGGAGAUAAAAGGACAGACAUUUGGUGGGGACGAUAAACUGCUGGGAAAGAAUCGGAGAGGGGAUGCUUUGAUGUUGUUGUUUACAGAGAGGCAGCCCGAGGCUCCGAUUUGACAGACUCCCUAUUUGACACACAAGCUUCCACCGAUCCGACUCCCAUGAGAUUAAAAGUAGCAGCAAAAAUGUUACUCGUGUCCCAGUGUGCCUCUUUUCAUUUUGUUAGCUCCUCUACAAGUGAAAUAAGAUAUUUAUUCGUAGCUGACUGAACACUCACUGUCAGGAGGGAAGAUCGCAUGUAUUGGAGUGACUGCACUGCGGCUAACACGUUUACUGUGUGAUGUCAAUAUUGUCAGAAGGGAAGGAAAUGUGACAAGCCAUUAAUAAAUGUUUCUCCACAUCAUCAGAAUAACAAGGGCUGCCUUUCUAUUCAUGAGGUUUGUCGUGUGUCGUACAUACAAUGAUGAUUCAUUAAAAAGGCUCUUCACAGAAAUGUUCUUUAUUAUGUCUCUGAGAAACAUAACAUCUAAUAUCAGGUGUUGUUAAUUUGUGAUUUUGAUAAUUGAUAAGCAUUAUAUUUCUGUGCACAAUUAAUGAUGAACAGUAAUGUAAGUGACUCAUUUGGUAUAAGAUAACGCGUUUAAAUCACAAUGAAGUAGCAGCUAUUGUGAGCAUUUCCUUUCAUAUCAAUGUACAUGAACUACUUUUUUUUUCCAACUUGCACAAAAUUACAACUUUGAAAGAAAAACGUUGGACUUUGGAAACUUGCAGUGGUCAUUUGUCAAUACAUGUUAUACUCUACACAGAAUACCUGGUGACGAACAUAGGAAUAUGCUGCUGCCCAACCAAAGAACAGCUAUUGUUUAAUUUUGUAAUUGCCAAUGUGCUCUGGUGCUACUGAUGAGUUAAUUUUUUUACUAACACAAUAAACUAAUUCAAUCUUUUGUA